rnacentral:rRNA from 1 species
GACGAACGCUGGCGGCGUGCCUAAUACAUGCAAGUCGAACGGUCUUUUCUAUGGAAGCUUGCUUCCACUGAGAAGAUAGUGGCGAACGGGUGAGUAACACGUGGGUAACCUGCCCAUAAGAGGGGGAUAACAUCCGGAAACGGGUGCUAAUACCGCAUAGUUUUCUUGAUCGCAUGAUUGAGAAAGGAAAGACGGCCUUUGCGCUGUCGCUUAUGGAUGGACCCGCGGCGUAUUAGUUAGUUGGUGAGGUAACGGCUCACCAAGACGAUGAUACGUAGCCGACCUGAGAGGGUGAUCGGCCACAUUGGGACUGAGACACGGCCCAAACUCCUACGGGAGGCAGCAGUAGGGAAUCUUCCGCAAUGGACGAGAGUCUGAUGGAGCAACGCCGCGUGAGUGAUGAAGGUUUUCGGAUCGUAAAACUCUGUUGUAAGGGAAGAACACGUACGAGAGGAAAUGCUCGUACCUUGACGGUACCUUACGAGAAAGCCACGGCUAACUACGUGCCAGCCGCCGCCGUAACAC